rnacentral:sRNA from 1 species
GCUGGGCGUGGUGGUGUACGCCUGUAAUCCCAGCUACUUGGGAGGCUGAGGCAGGAGAAUUGCUUGAACCCAGGAGGUGGAGAUUGCAGUGAGCAAAGAUCACGCCAUGGCAUUCCAACCUGGGCAACACAGCAAGACUCUGUCUCAA